CUGCAGCCCGAGUGGUGGUCGAUAUUAUUGAGCCUAAAGCGUCCGUAGCCGGACUAGUAAAUUCUUGGGUAAAUCAGGCAGCUUAACUGUCCGACUUCCGAGGAGACUGCUAGUCUUGGGACUGGGAGAGGUCAGAGGUACUCCAGGGGUAGGGGCUAAAUCCUGUAAUCCUUGGGGGACCACCAGUGGCGAAGGCGUCUGACUAGAACGGAUCCGACGGUAAGGGACGAAACCCUGGGGCGCAAACCGGAUUAGAUACCCGAGUAGUCC
rnacentral:rRNA from 1 species